rnacentral:rRNA from 1 species
AUUAUUAUGAGUAAAAACAAGCUAUAAACCAAAUAAUUUAUUAAGAAAAAUCUUAUAAAUAAACAAGGUGAAAGGAAAAAUCUGAAUAACCUUAGGAAAAUAAAUCAAACGAGAUUCUAUAUACAAUGAGAAGUAAGAUAGAAUAGCCUAUAAAUAUAUAAGUAAAAUGGAAUAUCUGUUUGAAUAAAGGGGAACCUUCCUCUAAGGCUAAAUAUGGUAUUAUACGCAAUAGUGAACAGUACCGUGAGGGAAAUUUAUUUAAUAGUAAUUUUAUAAGCAGCUCGAGAAAAAUUUUAAUAAAUAACAAGAGCGUACCUUUUGCAUAAUGGGUCAGCAAGUUAAUUUUAGAUGCAAGGAACAAGAUUAUGCAUUGAAGAUAAUAAUCACUUAGUUUCGUAGAGAAAUCGAUUAUGAAAAAAUGAUAAAGUAUCUAAAAUUAGACCCGAAGGCUAGUGAUCUUACCGUUAUCAGGAUUAUAAAAGUCCGAACGGGUUAUCGUUGUAAAGAUAUCCGAAGAAUAAUGGUAAGUUAGUGAAAGACAAAACUGACUAGCUGAGCUGGUUUUCCGCGAAACCUAUAUAAGUAGGUAAUUUAAACAACAUCUUGGCAGGUACAGAACUGUGAUCUCGGUCAAAAUAUUUAUAAUGUAAAAACAUUAUAAAUUUGUAUAUAUCGGGGGAUCGUAAAGAUUUUAUCGGAGAGUAUUUGCACUCGGAAGGGCUAAGAUGAAUGUUAAACAAUCGGACAUAGUACGAUAAGGUUGUAUGUCAAAAGGGAAACAGCCCAGAACAAGAGUUAAUAAGGUUCCAAAAUUAUUGUUGAGUGAAAUUAAGGAUGUGUCUUUUAAUACGAUCAAUUAAUAGGCUUGGAAGCGGCCACAUUUUAAUGAUCUCGUAACAGAGCAUUGAUUUUUUAAGAAGAUCACACCGAAAAUAUAACGGAUCUAAACAAUAUACCGAAACCUUGUCCAUAUAUAGUUUAUUUUUUAACAAAAUAUAUAUGGGGUAGCGGAACAAUGGAUAAAUCAUAAUUAUUUUUUUUUAAUUUUAAUUUUUUAUUUUCCAUGUGAUAAUGCUGACAUGAGUAACGAAAAAGAUAAUUUUCGCCUUAAGCUUAUGGUUUUGAAUUAAGCCGGCUUCUAAGCAAAUAAGUUUUUAUUGAUUUAUCCCAUAAAAUAAUCUGAGAUAAAAAAUAAAAACUUGUUAUUGCGAUGAAAUAAUCUGAGAUAUAAACUAAUUAAAGUUUAAUUAGUUCAGGAAAAAUAACUCAGGGAUGAAUAAAAGGGAGUAUUAAGUGCAAUCCUGUGAAAAAGCUUAUAUUCAUUUCAUUUGAACCGUACCUAGAAACUAACACAAGUAAGCUAGUAGAGAAUACGAAGGCGUUUGAGUGAUCAAUCAUUAAGGAACUCGGCAAAAUGACUCGCGUAACUUCGGGAUAAGGUGAGCCAUUCUUUGUAAGUUAAUGAUAAAGUAGAGGGGAAACCCUGCUCUUUAAGUAUAUAACUAAGAGAAUAGGAGGCAUAGAAUAGUGUUGUACGACUGUUUAUUUAAAACAGAGCACUCUGCUAAGAUAGACAUCGAUAUAUUGAGUGUGAUGUCUGCCCGGUGUCGGCUGGGUGACGGAUUUGCUUAGAAUUAAAAAGCUAGGUUUUGAAGAGAUCCCCGACAAACGGCGGCCUUACCGAUGAGGGUCCUAAGGUAGCGGAAUACCCUGGCCGUUAAAUGCGGUCUUGCAUGAAUGAUGUAACGAUACAACAGCUGUCUCGAUGAUUGGCUCAGUGAAAUUGGAAUAGCAGUGCAGAUACUGUUUACCUCUAGAUAGACGAGAGUGCGACUAGAAAGUACAUAAUAAUAA